GACAUAGGGGGCGAACGUUGUCCGGAUUUAUUGGGCGUAAAGCAUCCGUAGCCGGUUCUACAAGUCUUCCGUUAAAUCCAGCUGCUUAACAGAUGGGCUGCGGAAGAUACUAUGGAGCUAGGAUGCGGGAGAGGCAAGCGGUACUCGAUGGGUAGGGGUAAAAUCCGUUGAUCCAUUGAAGACCACCAGUGGCGAAGGCGGCUUGCCAGAACGCGCUCGACGGUGAGGGACGAAAGCUGGGGGAGCAAACCGG
rnacentral:rRNA from 1 species